GACAUUUUGACAUUUUGACAUUUUGACAUUUUGACAUUUUGACAUUUUAACAUUUUGACAUUUUGACAUUUUGACAUUUUGACAUUUUGACAUUUUGAUAUUUUGACAUUUUGACAUUUUGACAUUUUGACAUUUUGACAUUUUGACAUUUUGACAUUUUGACAUUUUGACAUUUUGACUCUUUGACACCAAUAUUUUUCACCCUCCGGCUUAAAUUUUUUUGUUUAACGACGUCUUCCCAACAGUAACAUUUUAAUUACCUACUUUGAAUUGAAGAAUUUAAUACAAUUGCAAUAAUUUCCUUCAUCAGAGAGAACAGUAAUUUUCUUUUGGCUCAUUGCCAAACAUUUGGUGAAUAAGAGGAAUGAUAGAUUUUUUUGCCACAAAAAUUGUAGAAAGUUAAUUCAGAAAAGAACGAACAUGUUUUUUGUGGUGUUCUCGAUUCGAACAAAUUAAAUAUUAAAAUUAAUUUUAUCAAAACCAAUCUGCAGCAAAGGAAAGCAUUUAAAUAUAAAAUUUAAAUUUAAAUAACUUUAAAUUUGAAAUCUUCUUUUGGAAAAAAAUUGGCCAUACCUGCUGUGGUUGAUUAACCUUGCACGGUGGAAUGAAAGUGACAGUUCGCGCAAGCCUGCCAUUUGAACGGCUGUGUUUUUUUUUCGUGUCUGGCCGGACCGGCCGGAACCAAAUCGAACCGUAAUUCCGGCGUUUUAUCAACCUGGACCGAGGCAGUUGGAGUAGUUUAGCUCCAUCGCCCUUGUCGCGACUGCAGGAUGACCACGAAUUAAGAAUCGGGAGCCUGACCAAAGUUUGGCGCAGGAUGGCCAAGACGUGGAUUUUGCUCUAUACCGUACGCUGGUUAGAUGAGAUCCGGCUGGAGAUGGCUGCUCCAAGUUUUUUCCGGUCCCGGUCCCGGUCGCGGAAGCCGCGAUUGCAGCAGGUCAAAUUAAAAUACGUGUGUUAAGUGAAUUACGAGUGAAAAGAAUAAUAUUGUGAUAAUGUGAAUAAAUGAAGUUUUUGUUUCUGAAA